CCUCCAACAGAUUAGCAUGUAGAGGCAACGGCGUAUAAUGUAGAGCCUCGCCCUUUGCUCCUUGAGAGCUUCGCAUCUUGGGACAUAGAUUCUGCUGCUCUUCCUUUGCCUGUAUGGGACUGGCUUCCCCAUUGAUAUAUCUGCUUUCAUAGUAAGGUUUACCAGUGGAGGAGUUGAGUUGUUAUUAUGGUGGAAUUUAGAAUUUACUAACACUUAUCUUGGAAAAUUGGUUUUUAUUGUGUUGAAAGUUCAAAGACUGUUAGAAGCCUCACUUUUGUGCAGUGAAUUAGGGGCCUUGUUUCCUGCUUUCAAGAGGGGGAUUUUGCAAUGUGUCGAAUGAGCCUGCUUUCGUGUUCACACCUCGCCGACUACUUGAGGCGAUUGGAUUGGAUUGGCUCCUCUAUCAGCACAGGCAUCAUUCAAGAUAUAUCCAUGGAUUGUUAGAGAUAAUUCUGCAUACAUUAAUGGACCUUUUGUUAUUCUGAAUAUAAUAAAAUUGUUUUUUACUAUAAAUAAAUUUUCUAUAUAUGAGGAGAAGAAUGAAGAUAACUUUUCUUACGUAGGAGUGAGUUAGUGAGCAAUUUGACCAAUAUAUUUCAAACGAUAUGUUGCGUAAUGAAAAAUUUAUAAUCUAAAUACUAGUACUAAUAAAUAAUCCAUUUAUAAUGCUGAAAAUGAAAGCGGUAAAAAGA